UGCCUUUGACUGAAAGCUUAGGAGUCUAGUCUGUAAUAUUUUCCAACAGACUCCACUGAAGAUAUUUCAUUUGGCUUAAAUGCUGGGAUGUACAAGAGCUGAACAAUAAUUUUUGCAAGUCGUGAAUUGCAUGAAGAGGAAACACUUGUGUGUCUUGAAGAGAACUUACACUAAAGAGAAGAUACACUAAACACAAACCCAUUUUGUCAAUGAAUGCAAGUGGGAAAACUUAGGAUUCUACCCAGCAAACAAGAUUCCUUCUACAUAGAAGGGAGUCAGGAACAUCUAAUUUGGUUCGACACCAUGAAGGACAAAGACUCAGAUCUCCUUUUUUUUUGCUCCUAAAAGCUUCAAGACUAAACUCCGUGAAUUAUCAGUGAUAGCAAAUUUUCGAAUAUCUUAAUAUUUAUUUUAUGUGCUUUCACAUGUCUCUGCUGAUCCGCGCAUGUGAGGAAAUGUGCCUACAGUGUCCAGAAGAGGGCGCUGGAACCCCUGGAGCUAGAGUUAUGCACAGUUGUGAGGCAUGGUGCUCCUGGGAACUCAACUGGGGUUCUCUGAAAGAACAGAACAUGCUCUUCACUGCUGAAGCAUUUACCUAGUAGGAAUAAGACAGUUUUAUCCCGCCAUCCUUGGAGGGGUGCCACAAUCUAGAUAUAAAAUGAAAAGGUAGAUUAUACCUCGGAGACUACAAACAUCAUCUUAAGAAGACAGUCUUUAGAAGUGAUGAAGAUUUGAGUUAGGUCUUGAAAGCAGCAUCGUGGAGAGGAAGGAAAUAGCUCUUUGAAAACUGCAUGAGCGGAGUCAACAGAAAUUGAGGCCGAGCACGUAUGAUUAAUGCCAACCUGUCUGGAACAUGCCUCCAUCACUCCACCGUCUUCCCAUCUUUCUUAGAUGCUGAGAAAAUGCUUUUCACAGCUAUGAUGACACAGCCAGAAAUAUCACCUUUUGAAGACAUCGUAACUGUGAGAUAUGACACUCGUUUGGCCGUUAGGAGGUUAUUUGCUGUGGCCAUUAAAUACAGCCCUGUCACUUCCGCUCACCUGGGCUAUAUUUCCUCCUUCAAUAGACUAUCCAUAAAUAUCAGCUCAGGUAUAAAUAGAAAUAAUGCAUAUUUUCAGCUAAAGAAGACAUGCGCAGCAGAAUACUGCUGGAGGGGCAAAGUAGCAAGCCUUCUCUACGUGGGCUUUGCAAGUCCAGAGGCUGUAUGUUCUGGUGAGGUCUCAGAACUCAAAUCGGUAUGAUCUCUUUAGGUCAGUUAGGCCUCACACACAGCUACUAAAUUCAAGAAUAUUCUAGACUUCCCACUUGUUGGCCCAAUUUUUUUUUCUGCCACUUGAUAAUUGGAAUGAAUUCCUCGUGGUCAGAACUUAAUUCUAGUUACUUUUAAUACUGUUAACAAUACAUUAAACUUAAAUGUUCCCAAACGUUAAGGAGAUGAAUGAUAUACUCAUUGAACUCAAAUAAUUUUGUAUAUUCUCAUUUAAUACUUGAGAACUUUCUUAGGGAUCUGCUGAUCUACACAAAAAAUAUCACAAACCAAGGCUAACACUUUUACUCUUGUUCAAGAGUAAGACAACGAUGCUACCUGUGUGCGAUUUUGUAGCACAAGUGGCUAGCACUGUAGGUGUUUAUAGAAAAAGGCUGACCAUCAGUUCCCUGUGAUUGACAGCUUACCUGAGCUCUGUAGAAGAGAGACAACAGGAGCUUUUGGCUGGACAUCCUGGGGAAUGAGCCAAAAAAGAGAAACCAAGAAUAUUCCUAACGUACAUGGACGUAUUUUCUGGAAAACCCCGAGGAGUGGCUAGCUCGUGAGAAUCUGCAUGUUUACGGCAUUUACUCUGGGAAAAUUAAGGCUUGAAUGGAAUUUGCAGACUUGGAAAAUUUACAGCUCUGAUUUUAGUGAUGCUCACCAUGACUUGCUAAUCCACAGCCUCCCCUUGACAGGAGUGCUUAUGUUCUAGAUCCUUCAAUGUAUCUUGACCAAGUGAAAUAGAGCCCAUGGAGGGGUGAGACUUAGCAUCACUUUGUGACUCAAGAGAGAUCAACCUACUUCAGAGAAGAAAGGCAUUAACUCAUUCAUAGAUGCUUCGAUUCUGUCCCAGAAAUGUACCCGAUGUUCAAGCCCGGAAUGCGCAUCUCUCAAGCACAUGGCCAUGACUACUGAGCGCCUGCUCUAAGGCACCUGUGCGUGGAUCUGCAACCUCAUCGGGCAUCCUGGUCACUGUCUCUCUGGCAACUUAUUUGGCUUUAUUUCCUUUCAUAGGAAUUAACAUGGCUUUUCUGCGCAUG
rnacentral:sRNA from 1 species